rnacentral:rRNA from 1 species
UACGUAGGGUGCAAGCGUUAUCCGGAAUCACUGGGCGUAAAGCGUGCGUAGGUGGCGUGUUAAGUGUGAUGUUAAAUCGUGUGGCUCAACCAUAUCGAUGUGUCGCAUACUGGCAUGCUAGAGGACAGCAGAGGCAAGUGGAAUUUGUAGUGUAGCAGUGAAAUGCGUAGAUAUUACAAGGAACACCAAUGGCGAAGGCAGCUUGCUGGGCUACUCCUGACACUGAGGUACGAAAGCGUGGGGAGCGAACAGG